GAGAAAAGAAGACUGGGAGAGAGAAGGAAAGGGGGAGAUGGAGGAGACACGAAAGUAUUACAACAUGGUGGUGACAUGAAGAGACCAUCAAGGAGGAUGCAGCAAAAAAGCUGCUGCCAGAAAGAGCCUCAUAAAAUGAACAUCUGAUUGUGCCAUCGGCCUGCUUGAACCUCUCUUGCUUGGUUCCCAUUGCUUUCAUCGUACAGUUAAAACUUGCUAGUAUAACAAACAAGUCUCUUCAUGAUCUGGGCCCCACAGGCCUGUCUGCCGUCCCCUCCCUUCCCUGUCACCUUCCUCUAGGUUCACGCUCUAUCAUACUGCUCAGGGCUCC